rnacentral:rRNA from 1 species
UGGGGAAUAUUGCACAAUGGGCGCAAGCCUGAUGCAGCCAUGCCGCGUGUGUGAAGAAGGCCUUCGGGUUGUAAAGCACUUUCAGCGGGGAGGAAGGCGAUAAGGUUAAUAACCUCAUCGAUUGACGUUACCCGCAGAAGAAGCACCGGCUAACUCCGUGCCAGCAGCCGCGGUAAUACGGAGGGUGCAAGCGUUAAUCGGAAUUACUGGGCGUAAAGCGCACGCAGGCGGUCUGUCAAGUCGGAUGUGAAAUCCCCGGGCUCAACCUGGGAACUGCAUUCGAAACUGGCAGGCUAGAGUCUUGUAGAGGGGGGUAGAAUUCCAGGUGUAGCGGUGAAAUGCGUAGAGAUCUGGAGGAAUACCGGUGGCGAAGGCGGCCCCCUGGACAAAGACUGACGCUCAGGUGCGAAAGCGUGGGGAGCAAACCGG